rnacentral:lncRNA from 1 species
CCUCAGUUGGCGAUGCUCAGCUAAAACUGGAGGAAUCAACUAAGAUGGCUCGUGUUCAUGGCUAGGAAGCUGAUUCUGGCUUCAGUGAAGAGCGAUGCUCAUAUUGGAGACCCCAGUUGUCUGCCACAUGGGCCCUUCCAUAUGGCUGCACGGUCUUCCUCAAUAUAUAUGAUGAGGAAAUGGUUCAUGUAAUUAUGGAGACUGAGAAGUUCCAAGACCUACAUAAGGCAAACUGGGGACCCAAGAGCACUGAUGUUAUAGUUCUGUCUCUGUCUGAAGACCUGAGUAGCAACAGAGCCAAUGGUGAUUGGUUGACUGUGAUCAGCCUGAAUUGCUGGUCUUGGUUGUCUACACUUUGCCAUCACAGUUUACAUCUCAAUACUGGUAGGUAUAUCAACUUACAAUGGGUAAUAGCCUUUAAAUAACAAUAUGAUAUUUAAUGUUCUUUGACAUU